UGGUCCGCGUAAAAUACAGUGUCGUCGCGACGCCUAGCGUCAGGAAAACGGAAACAGCUUGUCGACUCGUUUGGCAAUGACUGAUGGACUGUUCUGUGGCCAAUCAAAAGCAGGCGCAGUCUUGACAGUUGAUUAUGGGUGUAGACGUGAAAGAAGCAAAAAAGAAAAGGUGAAUGAACGACGAGACAGGAUACCUCCGGCAACACGGAAGAUUAAAGUGUCAGCAUCACUCGGGGAAGCCAGAUGAAUUUUUCACGGUGCAAUAAGUCCCGCAUCGUCUGCAGAGGCCACAAAUGAAACGGCGAGAAACACGACUGGCUUUUUCUGACUUUUGCCAGGUUCUUACACAGCAAGCUAGAUACAUACGUAGAAAGACUCGCCAUAUAAAUAAAUUCAAACUACUAGUUCCAAGGCGACAUCAGUUGAACAUGAUAGCUACUCCAUAUUGGAGUCGAUACCACGUCCAUGAUACUAGUUGACACUGAUUCGCAAAUUUACUGAUAAUUAGAAAACUCGAUAAAAAAAUCAGAUUUGAUAAAAGGUCAAAUUCCCACUGGAUAUACUAUACCGAAUAUAUCGUGGAUCAUAGGUUACUCCUGAUUCGGCGAAAGCUCCUUUUGGAUACUGUCAAGGAAUAAUGACUCUCGGGGUAUAAUUAAUCAAAGCAAUUACCUCGAUAUUUUCGGGCAAAAUUAAUUCCUAACGAAAUACCCAGUUCACCUUUGACCCUGAAAAAUAAUCGUUGGACGAAAAUGACGAAGCUGUGAAACACAAUUCAUUAAAAAAAUAUCGCAUGUCGUAUAAAUUUUGAUUCUCGUUAGGGCAUGACCUUAAUGCCCGUAAAAUACUUUUGUGCCUUUCAUUAAUCAUCUGGUUAAUUUGUUACAUGAUAACAGAACGUUACUACCUAUGGAUAAAACUGAUGGAGAACCAGAACCCUAUACGUAUUCAUUGUAUACAAUUUAACCACUGUAAGGAUUAAAGACCGGACAUAAUAAAAGAAGGGAAAUUACCAGCGGAAUUUGAUAAGGAAACGCUUCGAAGGAUAUUCUUGUUAUGAAUGAAAAUCAUUGACGUUUCAAGUAGAGAACUUUUUACAACAACAAGGCUUUGUAAAGCUCUACCACGGUGAACCGUGGUAACGCUUGAAGUGAAGCGAUGCCAGUGUUAAAUGAAGUAAUGUCGAGUUGAACUUUAACGAGGUAUCCGAAAAGUCAAAACUCACGGGGAACGAGUUUCAAGUAAAAACAGAUUUGACUGGGACCUAUCGAAUCGAGAUUUUAUAUCGAUAAUUGGUGAAAACGGAAUUACGGCAGCUGAUAUAAAUACAUAAAGACCUGAAGUAAUUAUUAAACAACAUGGAAGACGAUUGGCGAACCUGACUACGUGAUUUGAAGUUCUAAUGUCCGUUGCGCAUUUAAUUACUGGCAGUGAGUGUUGCCUGGCUACAUCGGCGCACGUUUGUAAUUAUUGACAGGAAAUUAAAGCAUAUUACACCGCUGGCUGCUACGUUACGGGUCACAUCGGAACGGCUCGUAUGUGGAAUCCAUUUCCAUUGGUUACUUAUCCGACGAUUGAUACGAAAGGGAAGAAAAAAUUAAUGAAAACAAGUACACCCAGAGAGCGUAGAUUAAGGACAGAUUGAAUUUUCCUCUUUUUACGAGUUUCCCAGGUAAUUACCAGCACUCUACAUAUAUAUAUACAUCACGGGGCAUAUCGGCCUACAUAAAAGAAAACGACUAAUUUUCAAAACUGACGUCAUGAAUAUACGGGACAACGAAGCUCGCGCAAUUUGUUACAUACUGGACAACGUUAAUGUGUGGUUUCACGAAUUUAGGACGAAUCGAUAGGCGAACGAGUGUACGCUCGGCAAAUGAUAUUUAAUUAACGCCCUAUUACGAGAAUUUUGGACAUGCUGCGCACGGUGAUUCAAGAAAACCUUCAUUUUCUCCUAUCGCCAACGGAUACGGCUGCUGCUCUAUUUGCCAGUAUCUUUUGAGGGCGAACCAUCCCCCUACCAAACUACCACCUUCAGCCCCAGCAGCAUCAAACCACCAGCUCUAUCUUCUCACUCAGUGACUCGCCCUGCUCCGCCUCCUGCAGGAUGGGAUCCGAAGAUACACGUGGAUGGCUUCACUCGGAUGGUCAAGUUUACCCAAGCGUAGGCGUUUGUUCCUGUGGAUGAUAUAUAGGAGCCCUGCUGUUUACAUCGGAUAUUUUGAAGCCAACGAAAUUCAUUGUGCCUUUUAACAAGUGAGGGGUUGUUACGAAUGGAAGAAAGUCGGUAUUACACGAGGAUAUAAGAUUUAUGAUAAA